rnacentral:ncRNA from 1 species
UUAAAAACAUAGGAAAAACAAGCAAUUUAGCGUAGUUUUCAGAGAGUCAUUGGCAGGUGUGAAAUGACAAACAAAAUUAAGUUGUAUCAUUUUCCGGUUUCAAUUCCGAAAUUCAGUAAGAGUUGACGGUCAGUUUCCGUUAGAAAUCACAAGUGAUUGAGUUUAUUCAAUAAGUUGGGUGGUAUCGCGCACAUUCGUCCCGAAG